AGUCCUUCUGGCUCACCCGUCGCAGGAUGUCACAUUCUGUCGGGUUAUUGUUUAUUCUUUUUCCAUUGUAGUUAUGUUUUGUAUUUGCCUGCCUCAUGCUAGAGAAGUCUCGCACUUCGCAUGUAGGACCGUAAAGCCAUGUAUGUUCUACAAUAAAUUCUUUACCCCGUCUAUCACCGUGUUGAAUUACAAAUCACACACCUUGCUGUUGAGGAUUGUUUGGUUGGACAUUGCCCUGGGGUCCGGCUACUCCAACUCCAGUACCAUCUUGAGCACAAGCCUUUGCACCUUGAAAAAAUCAACCUCAGACGAGCAAGAUAAUUCAAAUAAUCUUCUGUUGAGGUUACAUUCCACAACCAACUAUUUGCGCUUGGGUUGCUGAAACCGAGGUGGAGUUUCGGGCCUGAGGUGAUCGUCGUCUACUCGUCUGUAUGACGUUGACUCGGAAGAAAGAAACUCGGUCUACGAGCAAAGCAUUCGAGAUUACUGUGUGUGUGUAGGACGAGUAAGCAUCGUCCUCGAUCUUGCUAUUUGCUAUGGUUUAAUACAAGUUAAACUAACCUAGA